GCCCCGCCUGACGCCACCGGUGCCCGCAACCAUGCGGGCUAAGAGGGAAGCCGGAACCAGCCGGCGCUGCCCCCGCAACUGUUUCCGGACGAGCGCCGCGCCCUUGCGCGCCACUGGCCCCUUGGCGGGCUGGGAAGGCCGGCGUGUCGCGUUGACUUCGGAUGAGCCAGGAAACCUGCCGGUGUGUGGUCGUUCCG
rnacentral:ncRNA from 2 species